GUGCAUGUAUUUACCUCAAUCCACAUAUGUUGAAGUGGAUUAGAGUGGAUUUAAACUAAGUUCCACUCUAAUCCACUCCAAUACAUGUGGUUUGAGGUAGAUACACGC
rfam:Sorghum bicolor cultivar BTx623 chromosome 1, whole genome shotgun sequence.